rnacentral:rRNA from 1 species
AUUGAACGCUGGCGGCAUGCCUUACACAUGCAAGUCGAACGGCAGCGCGGGCUUCGGCCUGGCGGCGAGUGGCGAACGGGUGAGUAAUAUAUCGGAACGUACCCAAGAGUGGGGGAUAACGUAGCGAAAGUUACGCUAAUACCGCAUACGAUCUAAGGAUGAAAGCAGGGGAUCGCAAGACCUUGUGCUCCUGGAGCGGCCGAUAUCUGAUUAGCUAGUUGGUGGGGUAAAGGCCCACCAAGGCAACGAUCAGUAGCUGGUCUGAGAGGACGACCAGCCACACUGGAACUGAGACACGGUCCAGACUCCUACGGGAGGCAGCAGUGGGGAAUUUUGGACAAUGGGCGCAAGCCUGAUCCAGCAAUGCCGCGUGAGUGAAGAAGGCCUUC